GACGAACGCUGGCGGCGUGCUUAACACAUGCAAGUCGAACGGAAAGGCCCUGCUGUUGUGGGGUGCUCGAGUGGCGAACGGGUGAGUAACACGUGAGUAACCUGCCCCUGACUUUGGGAUAACUACAGGAAACUGGGGUUAAUAACGGAUAGGAGCUCCUGCUGCAUGGUGGGGGUUGGAAAGUUUCGGCGGUUGGGGAUGGACGCGCGGCUUAUCAGUUUGUUGGUGGGGGAGUGGGUCACCAAGGCUCUGAGGGGUAGCCCACCUGUGAGGGUGUCCAGCGACAUUGGUACUGAGGGACGGCCCAGUCGGCAAUAGGGGGCAGCAGUGGGAAAUAUUGCGCAAUGAGCGCACGCCUGAGGCAGCAGCGCCGCGUUCGGGAAGACGUCCUUCGGGUGGUAAACCGCUUUAGCCUGUGACGAAGCGUGAGUGACGGUAAUGGGUGAAGAAGCACCGGCUAACUACGUG
rnacentral:rRNA from 1 species